rnacentral:rRNA from 1 species
UGCAAGUCGAGGGGCAGCAGGGGUGUAGCAAUACACUCGCUGGCGACCGGCAAACGGGUGCGGAACACGUACGCAACUUACCCAAAACUGGGGAAUAGCCCGGGGAAACCCGGAUUAAUACCUCGUAACAUAAUGAGGUGGCAUCACUUUAUUAUUAUAGCUCCGGCGGUUUUGGAUGGGCGUGCGCCUGAUUAGGUAGUUGGCGGGGUAACGGCCCACCAAGCCUACGAUCAGUAACUGGUGUGAGAGCACGACCAGUCACACGGGCACUGAGACACGGGCCCGACUCCUACGGGAGGCAGCAGUAAGGAAUAUUGGUCAAUGGACGCAAGUCUGAACCAGCCAUGCCGCGUGAAGGAUGAAGGUCCUCUGGAUUGUAAACUUCUUUUAUAUGGGAAGAAAUUCCCGCAUUCUUGCGGGAUUGACGGUACCAUAGGAAUAAGCACCGGCUAACUCCGUGCCAGCAGCCGCGGUAAUACGGAGGGUGCAAGCGUUAUCCGGAUUCACUGGGUUUAAAGGGUGCGUAGGAGGGCAGGUAAGUCAGUGGUGAAAUCUCCAAGCUUAACUUGGAAACUGCCGUUGAUACUAUCUGUCUUGAAUACCGUGGAGGUGACCGGAAUAUGUCAUGUAGCGGUGAAAUGCUUAGAUAUGACAUAGAACACCAAUUGCGAAGGCAGCUCGCUACACGAAUAUUGACUCUGAGGCACGAAAGCGUGGGGAUCAAACAGGAUUAGAUACCCUGGUAGUCCACGCCCUAAACGAUGGAUACUCGACAUACGCGAUACACAGUGUGUGUCUGAGCGAAAGCAUUAAG